rnacentral:rRNA from 1 species
ACAAAGAGAAGCGACCUCGCGAGAGCAAGCGGACCUCAUAAAGUGCGUCGUAGUCCGGAUUGGAGUCUGCAACUCGACUCCAUGAAGUCGGAAUCGCUAGUAAUCGUGGAUCAGAAUGCCACGGUGAAUACGUUCCCGGGCCUUGUACACACCGCCCGUCACACCAUGGGAGUGGGUUGCAAAAGAAGUAGGUAGCUUAACCUUCGGGAGGGCGCUUACCACUUUGUGAUUCAUGACUGGGGUGAAGUCGUAACAAGGUAACCGUAGGGGAACCUGCGGUUGGA